rnacentral:rRNA from 1 species
GACGAACGCUGGCGGCGUGCUUAACACAUGCAAGUCGAACGGUAAGGCCCUUCGGGGUACACGAGUGGCGAACGGGUGAGUAACACGUGGGUGAUCUGCCCUGCACUUCGGGAUAAGCCUGGGAAACUGGGUCUAAUACCGGAUAGGACUCCGGACUGCAUGGUCUGGGGUGGAAAGCUUUUGCGGUGUGGGAUGGGCCCGCGGCCUAUCAGCUUGUUGGUGGGGUGAUGGCCUACCAAGGCGACGACGGGUAGCCGGCCUGAGAGGGUGACCGGCCACACUGGGACUGAGAUACGGCCCAGACUCCUACGGGAGGCAGCAGUGGGGAAUAUUGCACAAUGGGCGAAAGCCUGACGCAGCAACGCCGCGUGCGGGAUGACGGCCUUCGGGUUGUAAAGCUCUUUUACCCGGGACGAUAAUGACUGUACCGGGAGAAUAAGCCCCGGCUAACUUCGUGCCAGCAGCCGCCGUAA